rnacentral:tRNA from 1 species
UCUGAUCUGAUCUGAUGGUGGUAAAGAACCUGCCUGCAGUGCAGGAGACCUGGGUUCCAUCCCUGGGUCAGGA